CGAGGAGUACAUGCAGUCGGUGCAGGACUGGUAGGAAGGCUUGACUUUACUGAGGAUCCCAAACACAGCGUCAUGCUCAAAAUCCUCCGGGCAACUCCUUUUGCUGUUGUUGUUAUUCAAGUUCUCCCUAUUAAGCCUGCUCUCCUCCUUGUGCAUGGACAACCGCCGCUUCCACUUCUCCAUUGGGUUUUCCUCCCUGAUACCAUCCUCCCCCGGUUCCCCG
rnacentral:lncRNA from 1 species